CCUACGGGAGGCUGCAGUGGGGAAUAUUGGACAAUGGGGGGAACCCUGAUCCAGCCAUGCCGCGUGUGUGAAGAAGGCCCUCGGGUUGUAAAGCACUUUCAGUGAGGAAGAACGCCUGGUGGUUAAUACCCAUCAGGAAAGACAUCACUCACAGAAGAAGCACCGGCUAACUCCGUGCCAGCAGCCGCGGUAAUACGGAGGGUGCGAGCGUUAAUCGGAAUUACUGGGCGUAAAGCGCGCGUAGGUGGCUUGAUAAGCCGGUUGUGAAAGCCCCGGGCUCAACCUGGGAACGACAUCCGGAACUGUCAAGCUAGAGUGCAGGAGAGGAAGGUAGAAUUCCCGGUGUAGCGGUGAAAUGCGUAGAGAUCGGGAGGAAUACCAGUGGCGAAGGCGGCCUUCUGGACUGACACUGACACUGAGGUGCGAAAGCGUGGGUAGCAAACAGGAUUAGAUACCCGGGUAGUC
rnacentral:rRNA from 1 species